rnacentral:rRNA from 1 species
CCAAUAGCGUAUAUUAAAGUUGUUGCAGUUAAAAAGCUCGUAGUUGAAUUUCGGAAUCUGUCCGUUGGUCGGGCUUCAUUGUCCGUACUGGUGUGAUGGGUUCUUACCUUCUGAAUAACCAGCAUGCCAUUCAUUUGGUGCGUUGGGGAAGCAGGACUAUUACCUUGAAAAAAUUAGAGUGCUCAAAGCAGGCUAGUGCCUGAAUACAUUAGCAUGGAAUAAUAAAAUAGGACGGCAUGGUUCUAUUUUGCUGGUUUCUAGGAUCACCGUAAUGAUUAAUAGGGAUAGUUGGGGGCAUUAGUAUUCAAUUGUCAGAGGUGAAAUUCUUGGAUUUAUUGAAGACUAACUUCUGCGAAAGCAUUUGCCAAGGAUGUUUUCAUUAAUCAAGAACGAAAGUUAGGGGAUCGAAGACGAUCAGAUACCGUCGUAGUCUUAACCAUAAACUAUGCCGACUAGGGAUCGGACGAUGUUAAUUUUUUAAUGACUCGUUCGGCGCCUUACG